UGAGGACACUCCGUCCUUAAAGACCUGUGAGCUGCUUCAGGAGCCAGGUGACUCAACAUGAUUCAAAAUUGGGGAGGAGGACAUUCAUACCACACCUGAGGGCUUAGGGCACCACCAACAGAGGACAGACAGCUGCACCUGACACAGCUGUGAUUUAAACCAAGGGCACGGUUAGCAGGGACAGGAUGGACCGCAGGCACCAAGCUGCACCAGGGGUUAGGAAAUCAUGAAUGGACUCGUCCUGAGCACAGGCUGGUGCAGCCAGAAGAUUGGAGUGGCCAGCAAAUGCUAGUGCUGGGAAGAUGCAAGUUUGGAGCGAUGGACAGCCACCGUCCCUAGCUCAGCAAAAGAAGCUGCUUACAGUAAGAGAGUUUGUGCUCCUCAUGCAAAGAGAAGCAGAAAAAAAGGGAAAUCUAAAAGAAGAAAGACCAAAUAAUAUUGCUGAGUUUCUGCAUUAAACUGUUCCUGAGGUCAAUCACCUCUAAAUUUCUCACUUGUGUGAUCCACUCCAUUACUUUUUCGCUUUUGCUAGUUAGAACUGGAUUUCUUUUGCUUACAACAGAGAUCUCUGAUGAACUUACCUGUAUUAUAGAGUUUCCAACAUUAACCUCAUAGUGUUAUCAAGAGUUAUUUAUACUUUUCAAUCCAAUUAAUAAAGGCUAGUAUAGUAAUAAAAUCAACUACUAUUGUUGAGUGCUCAGUAAAUGUUCAUGAGAUGAAUGAUUGUCACCAAAAUAAUGAAAGCCUGUCAAAGGCAGGGCAGGGCCCAGCUGAGCCCACAUAGUCCUGUGACCUUCUCUAGGAACUUCAGUUCUGCCUGCCCUGCCCCCCAUAUAACAUCUGCCACUAAGGGAGAAAGCAAAGUAGCAACAAAAAGGUCAGGUCACUUUCUUCCCUUUCCUUGCUCCAUUGCCUUCUGCUCAUUCAAGCUGCAAUGUUGGGCUUUCUCCCAGGUCACGUGCAGGGAGGAGCUACAGAUUUGAGGAAAAGGACCAGGCCUUCCCUAGAUAAUAUUUUAAUAUCGCCUUAGGGCCCUCUGGGAAGCGGGUACCAAAGUACUGGCUCUCUCUCUCAUGGAGUACUCUGUGGGUUUCUCACAAACACCCUUCAGUGGGCUCUCCCACUGCACCUCCUCUGCUGCGAGUGAUGCAAACUCAGGCUGACUGCUCACAGCUGGCCACUCCUUGGGUACAUUUCAUGCAACCUCUCUGUACUGGCACAAGGUCCUCUGGGCUGGCUCCUUCAAGGUGACUACUGUGCCAUGGUGAGCACGCCCCUUGCCCUGCCAUCAGCACAACCCACCUAAUUCACUCCGCAGCCCUCUCUCCUUGCUCGGGCAUCAGGCUCACUCCGUGUAUGUACAGAAGCUUCCCUUGCCUUGACUCAAAUUGGAGGAAGGAGACUACCUUCCUCUCCCCCACAGGUAGGGAAAGAAUCACAUGGCACUCCAGUAACUCUUUUCCAAGAAAUUCCCACCCCCAGUUCUCUUCCUGCAGAUCCUACCUCCUCUUAAAAAUGGUCUUCACAUUGAUGGUAGGCUAAGACUCAUGAACUGGUUGGAGAUUUCCAGUUAGCAAGACCUACCUACAUGGCUAAAUCCCUUUCUUCAGAA